UACGGGGGGAGCAAGCGUUGUUCGGAUUUACUGGGCGUAAAGGGCGCGUAGGCGGCCACCGCAAGUCGACUGUGAAAUCUCCGGGCUUAACCCGGAAAGGUCAGCCGAUACUGCGGGGCUAGAGUGCAGAAGGGGCAACUGGAAUUCUCGGUGUAGCGGUGAAAUGCGUAGAUAUCGAGAGGAACACCUGCGGCGAAGGCGGGUUGCUGGGCUGACACCGACGCUGAAGCGCGAAAGCUAGGGGAGCGAACGGG
rnacentral:rRNA from 1 species